rnacentral:tRNA from 1 species
GGUCAGUUAGUUCAGUUGGUAGAACACUGCACUCAUAAUGCAGAAUUCACUGGUUCAAGUCCAGUACUGCCCA